GUGACCUCGGAUCGGUAGUAUUCAGGAGC
rnacentral:rRNA from 1 species